AACGAACGCUGGCGGCAGGCUUAACACAUGCAAGUCGAACGGGCACCUUCGGGUGUCAGUGGCAGACGGGUGAGUAACGCGUGGGAACGUACCCUUCGGUUCGGAAUAACCACGGGAAACGUUAGGGCGUAACACCGGAUACGUCCGCAAGGAGAAGAUUAUCGCCGAGGAUCGGCCCGCGUAGGAUUAGCUAGUUGGUGAGGUAACGGCUCACCAAGGCGACGAUCCUUAGCUGGUCUGAGAGGAUGAUCAGCCACACUGGGAC
rnacentral:rRNA from 1 species